UACGGAGGGGGCUAGCGUUGUCCGGAAUUACUGGGCGUAAAGCGCACGUAGGCGGCUUUGCAAGUCAGAGGUGAAAGCCCGGGGCUCAACCCCGGAAUUGCCUUUGAGACUGCAUCGCUAGAAUUGUGGAGAGGUAAGUGGAAUUCCGAGUGUAGAGGUGAAAUUCGUAGAUAUUCGGAAGAACACCAGUGGCGAAGGCGACUUACUGGACACAUAUUGACGCUGAGGUGCGAAAGCGUGGGGAGCAAACAGG
rnacentral:rRNA from 1 species